rnacentral:rRNA from 1 species
AGAUUGAACGCUGGCGGCAUGCCUAACACAUGCAAGUCGAACGGGAGUAGCAAUACUCUAGUGGCGGACGGGUGAGGAAUACGUAGGAAUUUGCCCUUAAGUGGGGGAUAACCCGGGGAAACCCGGAUUAAUACCGCAUGACCUCGAAAGAGCAAAGUGGGGGAUCGCAAGACCUCACGCUUUUGGAGAAGCCUACGUCGGAUUAGCUAGUUGGUGAGGUAAUGGCUCACCAAGGCGACGAUCCGUAACUGGUCUGAGAGGAUGAUCAGUCACACCGGAACUGAGACACGGUCCGGACUCCUACGGGAGGCAGCAGUGGGGGAAUAGUUGGACAAGUGGGCGCAAGCCUGAUCCAGCAAU